UUUUGUUCAUUUCCAUAUUGUUUCUUUUCCCAAAGAGCUGCAGACUAAGAAACAGGUAGUUUGGGUGUGAGAGAAUAGCGAGAAGUUUUUCAAGGGCUGUUCAUUUUAAUACUUGUUUCCACAAAGAAACGUGGCUGAGCAGACUGGUCUCUGCACCUGAUUUAACCUGAUUUCCGUCGGAGCAGAAAUCUGGUAACAGCUGAUUACCUGAGUAGUAGUCUCAACACUUUCUAUCUGAUCAAAAACCUCUGCAUCGUUAGCAGUAAAUUAUUUGAGGACAAGGAGCAAACAGCAAUGAUAGACUGAACUUGAGAAAGGAAUUACAAAAGUAAACAAGCAAGUAAGGAGUGGCGAGGCAGUGCCAUUGGAGGUGGAUGAAGGUUAACGAGAAGGGAUCUCAGAGCUUCCAUUUGGGCGAACAGAGGUGACAGAAUCGGUCAGGAGCAGGACAAAGCCGUUACUGGGCGCUUGCCCCUCCGCACGCCCCAAUGUCCACACCCUGCGCCCCAGAAGUCAGAGGAGAGGGUGGCAUGGCUGGUCCCUCACGCCCUGUUCUCCGCUGAGCGUCCCCUGCCUUCAGGGGAACGUGCUUGCAGGAGCUGGCAGCUCGGAGGCCUGUCCUUCGGGACUUUUCCGAAAGACAGGUGUUUCUCGCUCGAGACAGGUUCACACACCAAGAGUGGUGGUUAAUCGUAACUAUCCCUGGCCUCACCUGAAACUUGAGAAGUAGUUUUUAGUUUCACUUCAGGGUGAAGAGAAGUGAACAGCUUCCCAGAGCUUCCCAGAGUUGUGUCUUUGUUUUAGGAGCAUGAGGCUCACGCAGCUCAGGUCAGCCCUUUGGAGUUCCUCUCUCACUCCCCCAAGCACCGUCACAGCUGUGAUCACUUUCACAUGUGCUUGGGGUUGGCUCGGGCUCAUCACCUGUGCCUGGGGUCGGCUCAGGCCCAUCGCCUGUGCCAGGGGUCGGCUCGGACCCAUCGCCUGUACCCGGGGUCGGCUCGGACCCAUCGCCUGUGCCUGGCGUCAGCUCAGGCCCAUCACGUGUGCCCGGGGUUGACUCAGACCCAUCACGUGUGCCCUGGCUCAACUCAGGCCCAUCGCCUGUGCCCGGGGUCGGCUCAGACCCAUCGCCUGUGCCUGGGGUUGGCUUGGACCCAUCACCUCGGAGAGUUUACAGCUGCUCCCUGUUGACGUCAUAUGUUGUGGAAGGGCCUAGAAAUAGGCGCCACCUCUGGGCAGGUUUAACUUUUUGUGAGAUAAAGAGCUCCACUACUCCAGUUAAGGCAGGAGGAGUGCCCUCUCCCCACCCAGAAGCUAGCCGAUCAGCACGAGAGCACAGUCACUGGGACCUGAAGCUGGGGGACGUGGGAACACAGGCCACGGAGAGUCUAAACUGGAGCAGAGGAACCUGGCAGCUUUCUGGCGGAGAGCUGUGGGUGACGCUUGUGUUCCCGCUGGGGUCUGCAGGGAGCCUGUAGGAUGGAGGCCUCUGUGCCUAGUUCCCAGGAAUGGGCUUCUCUCUUGUCCGAAAGCCUCCAACUUAGAACCAGCAGCCUGUUUUUCCUUUCCUGUUUUGUGCUUCUGCGCCUUUGUUCAUGUGGACACUUGGGCGUCCCAUAUGUCUCGCAUUGCCUGCCUCGGAUGUCAGCUCAAAUACUGCCUCUUGCAGGAAGCCUUCCCUGAAUGCCCUGUGCCAGGCUCUGCCCUCAGAGCCUUCUCAGCCGUUACCCCUUCAGUUUGUGGUCAUGUUGUAAACUCCUGGAAGGCGGGGACUGUGUCUAGUGUCUGUUACCUCCCUGAGCUCAGCCCAGGUGCAGACACGUUCAG